UACAGAGGUGGCAAGCGUUGUUCGGAAUUACUGGGCGUAAAGGGCGCGUAGGCGGUUCGUUAAGUCCUGUGUGAAAUCCCCCGGCUCAACUGGGGAACUGCACAGGAAACUAGCGGGCUUGAGUUCGGGAGAGGGAAGCGGAAUUCCGGGUGUAGCGGUGAAAUGCGUAGAUAUCAGAAGGAACGCCGGUGGCGAAAGCGACGUGCUGGACCUCUUCUGACGCUGAGGCGCGAAAGCUAGGGGAGCAAACGGG
rnacentral:rRNA from 1 species